AUGGGGUCAUGGAUGCUGGUGUGGAUUCUGUGCGCCACAGUCACUCUGAUGCCUGUGUGUCUUCACGGAGCAAUAUCGGUCCACUUCAAGACCGGACGGCCUCUCUAUGUGGCUCUCGGCGAAACUCUUGUUUUGGAAGCCGUAUUCAAGAAGGACUCAGGUGACAAAAUAGACAUGGUGUCGUGGGACCGCGAGGGAGCAAAGGACAAUGUCAGACUGUCACAUGGAAACAGAAUAUCUUUGGAGAAUGGAGAUACACUUCUGCGGGUCACUGAUGUUGCAGAAGAGGACAUUGCGACCUACAAAGUCACCGUUACAGACAGUAACGGAUACCAGCAACAAGACUCCAUAGAUGUUAAAAACAUAGUUUCAGGGGAACCUCCAAAGGCGUCAAUUACACGUGUGCUGGAGUGUGUCGUGGAUAAUCAUGGCUUGGCCCAGUGGGACAGCCCUCAGUUUUCAUGGCUGGUUGAUGGUGUUAAAGUAACCAAUCAAUCCGCACUGUUAACAAACGGCAGUAGACUAGAUAUCUCUGGGGUUAAGGGUGUUAACUACACCUGCAUCAUCAAGAGCAGCCUGGGGACGCUCACAACGCAUUUUGAAAUGCCAACAGGUAUUGUCAAAUAUCAAUAAUGUGUGUCUUUUGACUUGUAAAUGUUCACCACACAAUGCAAUUACAUCUAACAACAGAUUUGGAGAAAUGUAGCAUUGCAUCACUUGCUCUGCAGUGAAUGGGUGCCGUCAGAAUGAGAGUCUGAUAAAAACAUUACAAUAAUCCACAAGUAAUCCACAGAACUCCAGUCCAUCAGUCACCAUCUGGAGAAGACAGAGGCUUAAACAUAUCUAUCAUUCAUUUUAAACCAUUGCUUCUGGAGACAAUAAUCCAUAAUAAUGCUUCCUCCAGUGAAAAAGUCCAUCUCUUGUUGUCUCUCACAUCAAAAUCCAACUGCAUGUUGGUUUAAAGCUGUUUUCUCAUGUAAAUAGUGCUUGAUCUGUGCAGAUUUCUCUCCUGAUUCAGACCUGACCCACUUGUUUCACUGGAGAAAGCAAUGUUAUGGAUAGAGGACUUGGAUUUUAGCUGAAAGUGACAGUUUGAAAUUACAGGUGCAUCUCAAUAAAUUAGAAUGUGGUGAAAAGUUCAUUUAUUUCAGUAAUUCAACUCAUUGUGAAACUUGUGUAUUAAAUUCAUUCAAUGCACACAGACUGAAGUAGUUUAAGUCUUUAAUUGUGAUGAUUUUGGCUCACAUUUAACAAAAACCCACCAAUUCGCUAUCUCAACUAAUUAGAAUAUGGUGACAUGCCAAUCAGGCAAUCAGCUCAAAACACCUGCAAAGGUUUCCUGAGACUUCAAAAUGGUCUCUCAGUUUGGUUCACUCGGCUAUACAAUCAUGGGGAAGACUGAUCUGACAGAUGUCCAGAAGACAAUCAUUUAUUCCCUUCACAAGGAGAGUAAGACACAAACAUUCACUGCCAAAGAAGCUGCUGUUCCCAGAGUGCUGUAUCUAAGCAUGUUAACAGAGAGUUGAGUGGAAGGAAGUUGAGUGUUGCCCAGUGGACCAAAGUCCUCUUUUCAGAUGAGAGCAAGUUUUGUAUUUCAUUUGGAAACCAAGGUCCUAGAUUCUGGAGCAAGGGUGGAGAAGCUCAGCCCAAGUUUCUUGAAGUCCAGUGUUAAGUUUCCACAGUCUGUGAUGAUUUGGGGCAUAAUGUCAUCUGCUGAACAACUUUUUGUAGAUGCUAAUUAAAUUUUCCAGCAGGAUUUGGCUCCUGCCCACUAGAGCUGAAGAUCUUUGCCCGAACCCGACGGGUUUCUAUCAUCUUACGCGGGCUCGGGCCGGGCUCGGGCUUGCGCUCCGGUUUGCGAGGUAAACGAGUGGUCAUGUGAUGUGUUUCGAUUAGCGCGAGAAAGAUGCGAAAAUGAAUGCUGAGCAGGUGUAACGGAGGCUUGCCUUUGGUGAUUACGUUUUGGUUGCACCAGCAACUAAAGCAAACUCUGAGGUGUGGAAAAGUUUUGACCGUGUUUAUAAUGAGAAUAAUGAGUGAAUAAUGACGUACCAUCAGUGAGCGCAGGAACGCGCUGAAGAUAUCUACAGUGGAUUCAAUCAUUUUCCUCCACGAAAACAUGUAGACCUAGCCUAAUCUCUGUGUGUAAAGGUUUUUCAAAUGAUAACUAUUCAUUGAGUCUUAAAUGCAUAAUGUUGACAGAGUAUUUACGCUAAUGUUGGCAUUAUUAUUUUAUUAAAUAAAGCAAAUCCGGCGGAGCCUUUAUCUUAAUUUCGUUAUUGCCAAAUACCCAUCUUAAUUUAAAAUUUAUCUUAAUUUUUUUUUUUUUUUCAAUGACUCGUUUUUAUUGGUGCGUUGGUCUAUUUAUAGGUUAAAUGAGCCUAUGUCUAGAAUGCUGAGAUGUUACGAUGUGACACAGGACUUAUUUUAUUUCUUUAUUCCAACUUCCAAGUGGUCUAGUCUACGUUAGUUAUGAGUAAAUUAUGUUAAAACAUGAAUAAAUUACUCAUUGUUGGCAAAAGGCAAAAGAGUUGUGUGCGUGCGCACAUUUGAAUAAUGUCGGGCUGUAAACGGGUUCGGGCUUUAAAAAAGCUGUCAAUCAAAAUCUACUUGUCGGGCUCGGGCCGAAACCUGUCGGGCUCGGGUCCUGUGGGGCCUAACUUUUAAGGCCCGAUUACAGCUCUACUGCCCACACUGCCAAAAACACCAAAAGUUGGUUAAAUGACCAUGGUGUUGGUGUGCUUGACUGGUCAGCAAACUCACCAGACCUGAACCCCAGAGAGAAUCAAUGAGCUAUUGUCGAGAGACGAAGAUGAGAAACAAGAGACCAGACAAUGCAGAUGAGCUGAAGACCACUGUCAAAGAAACCUGUGCUUCAGACCACCUCAGCAGAGCCACAAACUGAUCACCUCCAUGCCACGCUGAACUGAGGCAUUAAUUAAAGCAAAAAGAGCCCCUACCAAGCAUUGAGUACAUGUACAGUAAAUGAACAUACUUUCCAGACGGCAAACAAUUCACAAAAAAUUUUUUUUAUUGGUCUUAUGAAGUAUUCUAAUUUGUUGAGGUGUAAGCCAAAAUCAUCACAAUUAAAAGACUUCUUAAGUGUGUGUGUGCAUUGAAUGCAUUUAAUACAUGAUUUUAACAAUUUGAGUUGAAUUACUGAAAUAAAUUAACUUUUCCACGACAUUCUAAUUUAUUGAGAUGCACCUGUAAAUAAGUCUGUGCCAAAUUUGGGGUCUCUUUCUCAAACCCUCUAGUGCCACCAUGAAUGAUGAACUUGAAUGAUGUUGUCCCUUUGAUUCAUUCAGGUCAUGUACAUUAACACUUUUAGUUUUUAUACCAUUUUGAAUUUUGUAGAAGAUUUUUGUCUUGUGUCUCAUCAGAAUCUGAGCGCUGUUGUGCUGGACUGAUUGCAGUUGGAGUGAUAACAGGAAUAGCACUUGUGGCCGGGUGAGACCUCUUCUCUCUUCUACGGGCUCAUUAUAUGUCUGUUUAAGGGCUGGGUGAUAGAUAUUGAAUAUUUACAAUAGAUAUGUGAAUAUUACCAUCAUUUAAAUGCACUUUUUAUUUGGCUGUGUGUGAGCACGUACUUAAUUAGUCUCAGGAGGACUCUAGCCUUCAGCACAAAUUGUAUAAGAGUGAAAUAUUUGAAAACGCUGCUUUAGCUUUUCUUUUCUGUUAUCAUGUGAUUUAAAAAAAAUAUAUAUAUUAACAUUUGGAUUUGCAUGAAUGAAAAUAAUGACAUCAAAUAAUACUGAAAGGCUGAAAAAUAAAUUCAGAUAAUAAUGUUUUUAGCUACAUCUCCCAGCCCUUAGUCUGUUUACUAAAAGUCCUUUUCACAUUAUCUUUUUAUUUCAGAUCAAUUUUCCUGAUGAAGUACAAAAAAACCUCUAAACAUGAAGCUGUCUCUACUAAGUCAACAUAGAAGAUUGUAUUAUAUUUAUUUACAUGUUAAUGUACCUGUAAACAUUUUAAAUAGAUCAUUUUGUUUUGUUCUAUUGGAUAAAGUUAUUGCUAUAUGUCUUGUUCAUUGAUUCGUUCUGUCCAUUUGACCAAACUAUAAAAAUGUAAGCUGUUAAAAUGGAUCUUUAAGAUAUAAGCUGCAAAAAAUGGAUAUCAUUGCUAUUUAUUUUCUCUCUACCUCAUUUGUUCUAUUUAGUUUGCUGUUUGAGUUUCUGCAGUUUUUUUGCAUUUGCAUUCAAGUUUGUUCAGAGAAUUAAAGUGUCCAAACUGAUCUUGAGCGUGGAGCAUGAUUUAGAGAAGAUCUGUUUGUUUGUUUGUUUGUUUGUUUGUUGUGCUCGGCGUUCAGACCAGUCCUGUAGAGACACAAACAACAUCGCUCUAGUGUUUUUCAGGAUAAAUGCAUCUCUUUCAGGAACUUAUGAGUGGUGAGUUAUGAAAAGCAUUCAGGGAUCUCACUCAUAAAGUUACUGUGUCUGAACUUUGGUCACGUUUAAUGCAUGAGCACGACUACAGCGAUUCAUUAGAGGACUGUCCUGCUUCUGUACAUCUGCUGUGAGUUCUUGAUAUGUUUAUGUAGAUUGUUUUUCAUGGCUCUCUGGAAUUCUUUAUUCUGAUUGGCCAGCUGCAGAUUGUGUUUUUAGUUUUAUUUCUUAUUUUAAUAAAUGCUGCUCUGUUUAACAUUCUAUUCAUCGAUGAAUCCAGAAAAAUGUACAACGGUUUACACAUUAAUAAAAAAAUUAUCAUAAUAAGAAAUAUUUGUUGAGCAGCAAAUGACAAUUUGAUAUUAUGGUUUUACGGAUAUUUAAAUUACUUUUUAAGAUUUAAAUUUUUUGGCUACCAUAAACAAUCUACAGAAG
ensembl:lncRNA